rnacentral:lncRNA from 1 species
CAUGGCUAGCAAGUUGUUCCAGCACCUCUUAUAGACGGUUGAUCUUUCUGGCCACUUGCUCACAUGCUGUCUUCAGUGAUAUUUGGGCCAAUUCCUGGACUCAAGAUUUUGUUCCUUUUUUUUUUCUGUGGUUCUUUGGAGCUAAGACCACACUGUUUUAAUUACUGUGGCUUUUAAUAUCCCAGAUAACCUCAUGACUCACCUUCUGCAGGUCUUUACUCAAAUACAGCCUUUUCUGUGAGAUCUUCCUCAAGCACCCUAUUUACAAUGCUGGCUUCCCUCUACCCCAACCCCUGCUCGCAACCACCUCCAUAUAGUCUCUGCUUUGCUUUAUUCUUCUCCUUAUCACAUGUUACCAUCUGUUAAUCGACAUAUUUUACUUAUUCAUUUGCGUACUGUCUGCAUAUCUAGACUAAGUUUCAUGAGAUGAUAAGUCCAUGAAAACAGGGAUUUUCAUUUCUUUGACUCACUUUUGUAUCCCCGGUGCCUGGAACACUGCCAAGCACAGAACAGAUUCCCAAAAAUAUUUAUUGAAUGAAUGACAAACCGGUAGAGAAAAACAUCCUACAUACAACCACUCCCCACCCCGAUUUUUUUUUCGAGAAUUCGUUGGCUCUUUUUACACAAUCUUUUGUCAUGAAAUAUAGUGCUAAAUUGACCAAGUCAAAAAGAAGAUCCAUGGGAUUUUGAAUGGGCCCAUGUUGAAUACAUAGGUUAAUUUAGGAAGAAUUGACAACUUUACAGCUUUGAUUAUUUCCGAGGAAGAUCCAGUUAUUUCCCUAUUUUUUCAAGCCUUCUUUUAUUCCCUCAGUGUAGCAAAAUGAUUUUCUUUGUAAAGGCCCUAUGAAUUUCAUAUGAAGAUUGUUCCCAAUCAUGUUGUGAUGUUUUGUUAUUCAUUCACUUAUUCAAUAAAUGCUUCUUGUUGUCAAUCAUGUGCCAGACACUGUUCUAGGAGCUGGGAAUGCAGCAGUGAACAAAAAAUUGUUCUCUGCCCUCAUGGAUGUCAUGUUCUAAUAAGAAUGGAAUUCUUUUUUCCCUUAUAUUUUUUAACUAGCAAUAUUUGGUAUAAAAGAGAGCUAUUGAGUUUGGGGUACUUCUUUUAACAUAUCUUCUUACUAAAUUCUCUCAUCAUUUCUUUUUUUAAAGACUUUUAUUUUUCCCAUUAUAGUUGGUUUACAGUGUUCUGUCAAUUUUUUACUGUAUAGCAAAGUGACCCAAUCUCUCUCUCUCUCUCUCUCUCUCUCUCUCUCUCUCACACACACACACACACAUAUUUUUCUCACAUUAUCCUCCAUCUUUUUCCAUCACAAAUGACUAGAUAUAGUUCUAUUUUCCCCUUUUAUCUGUUGGCAAAAUGAAGUUUUCCAAUACAGUCCCUGUAUUUAUCCACAAUUGGAUUUCUGGAAAUUAAUUCCAUAUUUUUAGUCAAGAAGAAAAGUCACAAAUUUUUUUAAAUAUUUAGGACUGUAUAAUAUACCAGAAAUGAAUUUAGGUAUCAAAUUAUCUGAUAUGAUCCAAAUAUCUGAUAUGAUACAAUUGACAAUAGUUGUAUGCAACUGAUGCAAGUCAUUUUGAGAAAAUAUUAAUUUUUUUCUCUUUGCUGGCAGACUGUUUAGGAACCUAACUCCCUGAGUCAGCUACUGUUGAAUCUAUUUUUUUAAUAAAACAUAAAACCAUGGUUCUCCAUUGAAAGUUAGAGAACAUAAAAUCUACUGAUUUCUUUUAUAUUACUUUCUGUUUGCCAAUUACUUGUACAAACACUGAAGUAGCUAAAGAUUUAAUUUGCAUAUCCAACCACAAUAAAACAAGGAUGCCUGAGUAAAGUCUUACAUCACAGCUGUAAACUAAGAUUUUCUGAGGAGUUACAUUUGUCCUAAUAAUAUAAGACAGGGAUUAAGAGCAAUUAUACAACACCCAUUUCUGCAACUAAAGAAAUGAGGUUUGGCAGCCUGAAGAGUCUUGAGCAUGCUAACGCUGUCAGUAGCAGAGCGUGGACAAAAACUUUAGUUUUCUGCUUCACAUCAAAUACUCUUUCCACCGUGCUCUCCCUUUCAUUCGGCAUUACCUGCGUCACUAGAAACACUCAAAUAUGUUUCUUCACUUACCUAGAAAUUGUUGUGUUACCUUUGCCUAUUAUUUUAGGAGGAAAUCAUUUCUUAUAAAAUUCACAUAUGGCUUUUGAUUUUGUGGCAUCCUUUUCCUGGAGGUUCAAAGAAUGAGCGUAUGCUUGAAGAGUAAAUUCUUACAACAGGUCUGUGGGGCGGGGGUGUGGGGAGCAGAAAUGAUGAGUCUCCUGUGAUAUAAAUCAACAUUCUAAUCGUUAAAAAAUAGAUGCACUCAUUCAUAAGUGUCACAAAACACUCCAAACUGAAUAGGAAGGAAUAUCUGAAUGGAACUGAUAACAGCCAAGCCUGAAGAGGAAGCACAACAGCCCAUUACGAGCUAUUGAAAAUUUCCAUAGAGAGAAAAAAAAAAAUGACAUACAGCAGGAAAUUCCUGACCAGUAGUGUAAUCUCUUACAUAAAAUGUGUUGGCAGAUAAAUGGAUUUUUAUGAUUUUGCUUACAC